rnacentral:rRNA from 1 species
UACAGAGGGUGCGAGCGUUAAUCGGAAUUACUGGGCGUAAAGCGCACGUAGGUGGCGACGUAAGUCGGGUGUGAAAGCCCCGGGCUUAACCUGGGAAUUGCAUUCGAGACUGCAUUGCUGGAGUACGGAAGAGGAGGGCGGAAUUCCCGGUGUAGCGGUGAAAUGCGUAGAUAUCGGGAGGAACAUCAGUGGCGAAGGCGGCCCUCUGGUCCAGUACUGACACUCAAGUGCGAAAGCGUGGGGAGCAAACAGG